UGUCCGCAUACGUGCGGCAGGCUACACAUGCAGUUAAGCGCGAAAGCCUUCGGUGUGAGUAAUUCGGCGGACGGGUGAGUAACGCGUAAGAAUCUACCUAGUAGUGGGGGACAACUCGGGGAAACUCGAGCUAAUACCGCAUACGCCCUACGGGGGAAAGCGGGGGACCUUCGGGCCUCGUGCUAUUAGAUGAGCUUGCGUUGGAUUAGCUUGUUGGUGGGGUAAUGGCCCACCAAGGCGACGAUCCAUAGCUGGUCUGAGAGGAUGAUCAGCCACACCGGGACUGAGACACGGCCCGGACUCCUACGGGAGGCAGCAGUGGGGAAUAUUGCGCAAUGGGCGAAAGCCUGACGCAGCCAUGCCGCGUGUGUGAAGAAGGCCCUAGGGUUGUAAAGCACUUUCAAUUGGGAGGAAAGGCUCACGGCUAAUACCCGUGAGCUGUGACGUUACCUUUAGAAGAAGCACCGGCUAACUCCGUGCCAGCAGCCGCGGUAAUACGGAGGGUGCGAGCGUUAAUCGGAAUUACUGGGCGUAAAGCGCGCGUAGGUGGUCUGUUAAGUCGGAUGUGAAAGCCCCGGGCUCAACCUGGGAACUUGCAUCCGAUACUGGCAGACUAGAGUGCGGGAGAGGGAGGUAGAAUUCCACGUGUAGCGGUGAAAUGCGUAGAUAUGUGGAGGAAUACCAGUGGCGAAGGCGGGCUCCUGGCUCGACACUGACGCUGAGGUGCGAAAGCGUGGGGAGCAAACAGGAUUAGAUACCG
rnacentral:rRNA from 1 species